rnacentral:rRNA from 1 species
UACGUAGGGUGCAAGCGUUGUCCGGAAUUAUUGGGCGUAAAGAGCUCGUAGGUGGUUUGUCGCGUCGGCUGUGAAAACUCGGGGCUCAACCCCGAGCCUGCAGUCGAUACGGGCAAACUAGAGUGCGGUAGGGGAGACUGGAAUUCCUGGUGUAGCGGUGAAAUGCGCAGAUAUCAGGAGGAACACCGGCGGCGAAGGCGGGUCUCUGGGCCGUAACUGACACUGAGGAGCGAAGGCGUGGGGAGCGAACAGG